GGUUAAGUGACUAAGCGUACACGGUGGAUGCCUAGGCAGCCAGAGGCGAUGAAGGGCGUGCUAAUCUGCGAUAAGCGUCGGUAAGGUGAUAUGAACCGCAAUAACCGACGAUACCCGAAUGGGGAAACCCAGUGCAAUCCGUUGCACUAUCAUUAACUGAAUCCAUAGGUUAAUGAGGCGAACCGGGGGAACUGAAACAUCUCAGUACCCCGAGGAAAAGAAAUCAACCGAGAUUCCCCUAGUAGCGGCGAGCGAACGGGGAAGAGCCCAGAACCUGAAUCAUCAGCUGCGUUAAUGGAAGCGUCUGGAAAGUCGCGCGAAACAGGGUGAUAGCCCCGUACAUGAAAGUGCAGUUGGUGUGAGUUCGAUGAGUAGGGCGGGACACGUGUUAUCCUGUCUGAAUAUGGGGGGACCAUCCUCCAAGGCUAAAUACUCCUGGCUGACCGAUAGUGAACCAGUACCGUGAGGGAAAGGCGAAAAGAACCCCGGCGAGGGGAGUGAAAUAGAACCUGAAACCGUGUACGUACAAGCAGUGGGAGCCUUGAUUUAUCAGGGUGACUGCGUACCUUUUGUAUAAUGGGUCAGCGACUUAUAUUCUGUAGCAAGGUUAACCGAAUAGGGGAGCCGCAGGGAAACCGAGUCUUAACUGGGCGUCUUAGUUGCAGGGUAUAGACCCGAAACCCGGUGAUCUAGCCAUGGGCAGGUUGAAGGUUGGGUAACACUAACUGGAGGACCGAACCGACUAAUGUUGAAAAAUUAGCGGAUGACCUGUGGCUGGGGGUGAAAGGCCAAUCAAACCGGGAGAUAGCUGGUUCUCCCCGAAAGCUAUUUAGGUAGCGCCUCGUGAACUCAUCUUCGGGGGUAGAGCACUGUUUCGACUAGGGGGUCAUCCCGACUUACCAACUCGAUGCAAACUGCGAAUACCGAAGAAUGUUAUCACGGGAGACACACGGCGGGUGCUAACGUCCGUCGUGAAGAGGGAAACAACCCAGACCGCCAGCUAAGGUCCCAAAGUCAUGGUUAAGUGGGAAACGAUGUGGGAAGGCACAGACAGCCAGGAUGUUGGCUUAGAAGCAGCCAUCAUUUAAAGAAAGCGUAAUAGCUCACUGGUCGAGUCGGCCUGCGCGGAAGAUGUAACGGGGCUAAACCAUGCACCGAAGCUGCGGCAGCGA
rnacentral:ncRNA from 1 species